UUGGACACCAAAAUGGCGACAUUUGUUUCAUAUCCAGCUUCUGUGGUUUUCUUUCAAACUGCACUGUGUGUGAAAGAAACACACACACAGUGCAGUUGACCUAAAUUGAAACAUUUGUUACCUUUCAGCACUGUGGAAAUUUGCUGUCAAACACUAUUCUCUUUGAAAAACCUGUUCCCCUCCUCACCUGUGGGGGCGCUGCUUUAAGAACCUCUGAAGAAAACGAUACAAAAACCUCCAAAGAAUGCAAUGAGUGCAUCUUUCUUCUUCACAAAAUGUAAACAAGAAUGGAGUGCCGUCAAAUUUUAGCAGUUGAAAGCAGUUUCUCUUUUGUAAAAGACAAUGAGCCAUUUCUCUCGCUAAUGUUAGCCUCAGGCGUGUAACUUCAACUCUGCUUCGUUUGUGUAGAAAGUCCGGUUCAUGGGAAUGUGCAAUCGAAAUCCCUCUACCAACCUCGGUCUCGGUUUGGGUGAAGUGAACUCUAACACGGUUUGAACUCUAACGGACUGCAGCGCAGGAAAUGCUGGUUAAAUACAACCAAAACAAACCAAAAGCCAAGCGUUAGCAGGAGAAAUGACCCGUGGUUUUUACCAAAUACAAAAGAGAAAUCCUUCAACAGGUAAAAUCUACCCCAUUUUUGUUUAAGUUUGGUGAGGAAGGAAGAUGCGCUCAGAGUCUUCUGCAGUUUUUGUGUCCAAUUCAGAUACACAAUGUUUUAGGUCGGGUAGAUUAUAAAUUUCAAUCUUCCCCAAACUCUCACUGAUACAUCUCAGUUCCCAGUUAUCCAAAUAAGUUUGCUCGUUCCACUGAACCGAAACUAGCAACUUCUCCAAGAUCGAUUCCAUCCCGUUAGUGAGUUUUGAGUCCUCAGCUGGGCUUCAAGUCUCAGCAAGACUCGCAUCCGACUUGAGUCUCUGUCCACAACAACAGUCUGAGUGUUCGGUCAAGUCCGUCGAUAAACCAGGUAGCCACAAGUUCCAAACAGCAGAAAUCCUGUUAUCAUGAACAAAUCCAAGUGAAUCCCGCCGGGUGUGUCCCGGCAGGACAAGAAGGCUCUCCUGUGUCCAGUCUUCCCUUCAAGAAAAUUUGAUCAAUUGCAUUGAGGUUGACCAGAUCCAUAAUUUGCAGAUUUGGAGGAUGUGCAAAAACAGGCUCCAAAAAUAUAGACACAUUCAGGACAAAAACAGAGCAAGCAGGGCAGGAAGGGAGCAGAGGAAAAAGUGUCUGCCUUCACGGAGAGCAAGAGAGGAAAAUUCCCCAAUCGAACCAAGUCUACUGGACUAUCAGUCCAGCUGUAUGAACUCCAUUGACACCUGAAGGCAUCGUGAACCUUCAGACGUGAUCCCACUGAACUGCGAUCCCCAUGCAGGAUAAAUUCACACCCUGAACAACAUCAGUGAGGAAGAAAAAGCUGAACAGUAAAAUAAAUAUAAGCAAUCGGUAUUGAUGAAAGCGAAGGUUUUACCUCCGCC